UAUCUCUGUAGAGUCUGCAUAUCAAUAAGCGGAGGAAAAGAAACUAACUAGGAUUCCCUCAGUAACGGCGAGUGAAGCGGGAAGAGCUCAAAUUUGAAAUCUUCAAGGUUCUACCUUGACGAAUUGUAGUUUAAAGAAGUGUUUUCUGUUGGUGUUUUGGUAAAAGUUCUUUGGAAUAGGACAUCAUAGAGGGUGAGAAUCCCGUAUUUGACCAUUACUUUCCAGCGUUGUGAUACACUUUCAAAGAGUCGGAUUGUUUGGGAAUGCAGUCCAAAAUGGGUGGUAAAUUUCAUCUAAAGCUAAAUACUCGGCGAGAGACCGAUAGCGAACAAGUACCGUGAGGGAAAGAUGAAAAGAACUUUGAAAAGAGAGUUAAACAGCACGUGAAAUUGUCAAAAGGGAAGCGUUUGACACCAGUGUUGUUUUUCUGAAAAUCAAUUAAAGAACUGUUUAUGCUAAGUCGUUUAGACUUUAUCAGCUAACUGUUUAGUUUUGAGCUUUUCUUUAAUGCACUUUUCAGUUAACAAGUCAACAUCAAUUUCUUCUGCUGUAAAAAAGCUUGAGGAAGGUGGCUUGAGAUUCGUCUUAAGUGUUUAUAGCCUCCUGCCUAUGCAGUCGGAGAGAUUGAGGUCUGCAGCGUAGAUCUUUCGGGGCUAAAUGCAUUUGUGCUAAGUUAUAGCAUUUUAUAGACAACUUGUUGACUAUGAUUUGUCUUGUAGCUUACUCGCUUAUGUUAUUUUACCUACGCUUAGGAUGUUGACGAUCAGCUGAGCGCG
rnacentral:rRNA from 1 species